CUGAGUGGAGAGCAGUGGGUGAAGAAGUAUGGCAUUCCAAGUGGUAUGAUGCCAAGGAAGCCAGCAUGGAGGGCAUCGUCACCAUCGUGGGCCUGAAGCCCGAAACAACGUACGCCGUAAGGCUGGCGGCGCUCAAUGGCAAAGGGCUGGGUGAGAUCAGCGCGGCCUCCGAGUUCAAGACGCAGCCAGUCCGGGAACCCAGUGCACCUAAGCUUGAAGGGCAGAUGGGAGAGGAUGGAAACUCUAUUAAAGUGAACCUGAUCAAGCAGGAUGACGGCGGCUCCCCCAUCAGACACUAUCUGGUCAGGUACCGAGCGCUCUCCUCCGAGUGGAAACCAGAGAUCAGGCUCCCGUCUGGCAGUGACCACGUCAUGCUGAAGUCCCUCGACUGGAAUGCUGAGUAUGAGGUCUACGUGGUGGCUGAGAACCAGCAAGGAAAAUCCAAGGCAGCUCAUUUUGUGUUCAGGACCUCGGCCCAGCCCACAGCCAUCCCAGGUAUGGCUGCCUCUGCUUUCUGUUUGUUUCCGCUUUGAAUUAAUGCACAAGUGCUGCACCUCCU
rnacentral:sRNA from 1 species